CCAUAAGACAAGAUUAAUGUCUAACAAUAUAUCAUAUCUAUCUAAAAGAUAUAAAAUUUUGAUAAAAAUAUCAAAAAUAUCCUUUAGUGGAGAGUUAUCGUGCAAUUCGAUCCUGCGAUCUCUUUGCAUCCCAAAUAUGACUCUGAAUAUGAAAUGAUGUCAAAUCUAAUAUCAUACUCAUAUUUCUCUUAAUCUUUAAUGAUGAUUCGAUUAAUAAAAUA
rnacentral:lncRNA from 1 species